rnacentral:misc_RNA from 1 species
AAGGGUCCUUCCUUGCCUCUUAAGAGCAUAAACAACAUCCAUAGCCGUCACAGUCUUUCUCCUAGCAUGUUCAGUAUAUGUAACAGCAUCACGAAUCACAUUUUCAAGAAAGAUCUUAAGAACCCCACGAGUUUCCUCAUAAAUCAAUCCAGAAAUACGCUUCACCCCACCUCUACGAGCAAGCCUACGAAUAGCUGGCUUGGUAAUACCUUGAAUGUUAUCUCUUAACACCUUCCUGUGCCUCUUAGCUCCUCCUUUGCCUAAUCCUUUGCCUCCCUUACCACGGCCUGACAUUUUUCAGGGUUUU